UUAAUUAGGCUUAAUAGAUUCAUCUCGCGAAUUAGCAUAGGUUCUGCAAUUAGUUUUAUAAUUAGCUCAUGUUUAGUCCUCCUAAUUAACAUCCGAUGUGAUACUGCUAAAGUUUAGCACCUAGGUAUCCAAACACCCCCGUAGUUGAAGUGGGGUUAGUGUACGUUAAACCAUGAUGGGCCUAGGAGACUUCAUCAUUCUACACUCAAGAAGCAGAAAGGUGACUGUUGCCCCCCACGACUUGUUGGAUGCAGAUUGGUUUGGUGUUUGCUUUCGGAUCAGAUAGGCACCGAGGUAUUUUCCGCAUCCAGGAGUGUGUGCACCGCAUUCGUGGGAACGGUGGAGAAGAAAGGCCAUGAAGCGGCUCCCAAGUAUCUAUGACGAUGCUGUCGACGUCCACAGGGCCUUGUGCAGGUCGUCUUCUGCAGUUCUACCCAACCUUGGUCUAUGUGAGCUCCGGCUUUAUGAACGCAUGGAGACACCCCCACGGCACAUGACCGGUUGGAGCAAUUGGCCUGUAGCUUGCCAUGAUGUGCAGACUUUCAAUCAGUUCAUGAUGGCCUCCAUGCGCGUGAAGGUAAUGUGCUCGUGGAAAUUCUCCUAGAGCAAUGUCUGGAUUAAGCCACAACUAGAUGGAUUGUCAAAUGUCAUUAUGUUGUGUGAACUAUGCAAGCGUUUUCUGAAACAUUACAUGUGCGGUAGUACAAUUAAAUAUGGUAAUAGAAUGAUGCUCGUUUUAUGAUUUACAUGGAUGGAUUUCAAGAUGAAUUUAACAAUUGUACUGC